rnacentral:rRNA from 1 species
AACGAACGCUGGCGGCGUGGAUAAGACAUGCAAGUCGGACGGGAUUUUCCGUUGUAGCAAUACGAUGGAAAGUCUAGUGGCGAACGGGUGCUUAACACGUGGGCAACCUGCCAGGAAGUGGGGGAUAGCUCGCCGAAAGGCGAAUUAAUACCGCAUGUGAUUAGAGAGGACAUCCUUUCGAAAUUAAAGUCGGGGCAACCUGACGCUUCUUGUGGGGCCCGCGGCCUAUCAGCUAGUUGGUGAGGUAACGGCUCACCAAGGCUGUGACGGGUAGCUGGUCUGAGAGGACGACCAGCCACACUGGGACUGAGACACGGCCCAGACACCUACGGGUGGCAGCAGUCGAGAAUUUUUGACAAUGGGGGAAACCCUGAUCGAGCGACGCCGCGUGGAGGAUGAAGGUCUUCGGAUUGUAAACUCCUGUCAUUGGGGAACAAGGUGCAUACGUUAACUGCGUGUGCAUUGAUAGUACCCGAAGAGGAAGAGACGGCUAACUCUGUGCCAGCCGCCGCGGUAAAAC